UACGUAGGCAGCAAGCGUUGUUCGGAAUUACUGGGCGUAAAGGGUGCGUAGGCGGCUUUUUAAGUUUGGUGUGAAAUCUCCCGGCUCAACUGGGAGGGUGCGCCGAAUACUGAGAAGCUAGAGUGUGGGAGAGGAAAGUGGAAUUCCUGGUGUAGCGGUGAAAUGCGUAGAUAUCAGGAGGAACACCUGUGGCGAAAGCGGCUCACUGGACCACAACUGACGCUGAGGCGCGAAAGCUAGGGGAGCAAACAGG
rnacentral:rRNA from 1 species